GAUGAAGAACGUAGCGAAAUGCGAUAAGUAAUGCGAAUUGCAGAAUUCCGUGAGUCAUCGAAUCUUUGAACGCACAUUGCGCCCCCUGGUAUUCCGGGGGGCAUGCCUGUCCGAGCGUCAUUGCUGCCCUCAAGCACGGCUUGUGUGUUGGGCCUCCGUCCUCCUCCCGGGGGACGGGCCCGAAAGGCAGCGGCGGCACCGCGUCCGGUCCUCGAGCGUAUGGGGCUUCGUCACCCGCUCUUGUAGGCCCGGCCGGCGCUUGCCGACACAUCAAUCUUUUUUCCAGGUUGACCUCGGAUCAGGUAGGGAUACCCGCUGAACUUAAGCAUAUCAAUAAGCGGAGGA
rnacentral:misc_RNA from 1 species